GGAAGGGUCUGAGGAGAGGUCCAGAAUGCAGGCACUGGAGGCGUAGGGAAGGAGCUUGCUGUGACACGUCUUACCAGCUUCUGUGUGACCACUCGAGCAGUCUGUGUACCUCUGUCCUUCCUGUUUUUCAGAAGUCAGAACAGCUUUGAGCAGAAGCUCUCCUUCUCUAGAGAUGAAUUAUCACUUCUUGUGGUCUUCUCAGUAGUUGACCACGAAGAAAAUAAUGAAGAUCAUCCUUCAGAGAAGCUAUACUAGGAAUGCUCCUACGAUCCGUACUGCCUGCUGUCUUGUAUGUGUCAUCUGCUGUGAGUAAUAGAGGAAAUUCUUCUGCACCAAUGACAGUAAAUAUUGGUGUCCGUUUUCUUCCAAAGAAAAGAUUUCGGCACUUAUUCCAGAAACUGAAAUGACUCUUGUUCCUUUGGAAAGAAUUAUUUUAAAUCGUUGAUGUAUUUCCACUACGGUUGUUGUCAGGAUCCCAUUCAAGGACAAGAGAUGAUUAUUAUUACUUUUUUAGCAAUUCAAAAACAUGGAAUUGCUGUGCAGCACACUUGAUAACAACAAGUAAGAUGGCUUGGGGGAAACUAAACAGUCUUAGCAAAUCCAGUUCACUUGCAGCCACUCGUAAUCCUUCUCCCAGAGAUUCCUGGUUCACUGCUUCCAGCACGUGGUUGCACCGUGGUGUUGCUGCUGUAGUAUGGGUUGGAGGGGACUGGAAUGCUUCAUCUGCUCCACCAGGGCCUGGCUGUGGCGGCUGUGUCACUUGCUGGCUCUGGGACACCCACUGAGAACAUCUGAUGGACAGGGAUGCAUCACUUCAGCUCUCUGAUGGCGGAGAUACCUCCCACAGGUGGAAGGAUAGGCAGGUAGAAUGCUUGGAAAGAAUAUGCUAGCCUUCCUGGUGUUACUGCUAAGGGAGAGAAGAAAUGGGAGACAGGGUGAGCACAACAUCUCUGAGACAGCAAAACACCCAGUCUCCAGUAGCCUCGCCAGAUCUCUCUGGGUCUUGCUAGGUUGGAAGAGACCACUGAAGCUUGUCUUGCCUAUCUUCUGUUCAAAGCAGAGCCACCAUCAGCCAUCAUUAGGGUUGCCCUGGGACAUGAAGGCUCUGUGUGGUUUUGUCUCCCUCUGACCACUAAUCCAGGUACAUGCAAGGUGGUGAGGGAUUCUGACUGUAGAAGGACAUAUCAGAAUGGACUUGCAUUUAUUUAUUUCACAAAUGCCCCUGAGUUGGAUACUUUGAGGAGAUGCUUUUUAUGUGCAGGUGUCUUAAAGUGACAGAUGCUGUUCUGACUGGUGUUAAUCUGUGCUUUGUGCUAUGUCUUUAUAUUUUGCUUUCCGUUUGCUGUAGUAAAAAAUAUAGGACUGUCAUGUCUUGGUUCAACUU
rnacentral:lncRNA from 7 species